GUAUGCACCUGGGGAACAUGCAUCACUUUAAAGAACACAAAGUGUUUAAAGGGGAGAGAGUGGUUCUGUCAGCAGAGGGGCUGUGUGCACUAGCCGGUGUGCAGUCUUGAGCUCUUGGUUCUGUUUUGGGGAAUAGAUUGGGGAAAAGAUGAGUACUUAGAUCUGGGGUCUGGUACCAACAAGACAGACCUCAUCUCCUUCCCAUCGCCACAGCUGGUUGAUGAAGUCCCCUCUCUAAACUCUACGCCUUGGCAAGCCCCUUGCAAGCAGGACCCAGCGCCCAGCCUAUUUCUAGGUAUUAGCACGAUGAGCACUUGAGCCAGCAGCACCCCAGUCCUUCCCUGUGACCACAGAGUCUGGCACAUGGUCAUCACCUCGAGGAGAGGGCGAGGGAGGCCGCCCCCCCCAUCAUGCCCUGAGUUCAGGGUGGCGUCCCCCGACCACACAGCUCCCACCUGCCUUCGGUGUUCACUGAGGCAGAACACUGGGGGGACAUCUCCAGAUGACCCUCAGGAAGAAGGACGGGGACCCCGGGCUCACCCCUGCAGCUGGGUCUUUAUCGCACGGUAAGAUGCCCCAGGCUCAGAGAACAGCCUUCCCAAGGGGUGGGGGUCUCUGCGACCAACCCUGGGCGCCGGGCUGUCGGGCCCCUGGCUCACCCGCAGCGCGGCCUCCGGGUCCCCGGCCAGCAGGUGCACGCAGCCCACGUUGAAGCACAUCCUGGCGGGCGGCUCGGGGUCGCCCGAGAAGAGGCGGAGGGCGCAGCCCCAGUCCCCGCGCGCCACAGCCUGCACGCCCCGGUGCCAGUCGCGCACCAGGUCUCCCCGAGAGGGCAUGGCGGCGUGGACACCCGCCAGACUGCGGCGCGAGUCUGGCUUCCGGGCCGGAGCGCGGCGGGCGAGGCCGGCGGCGGCGGGGGUCCCGUGAGGGAUCCGGCGGGACGACUGGGGGCGAGGGCCGCGGAGCAGGAGCUUCAGGGUCCGGAGGCCGGCGUGGGGAUGGGGGGGCCCCCCUUAGAUGCCGGCACCGGGGUCCAGACCGAAGGGGCGCUUGGCCCUCGGAGCGCGCGGAGUCCGCCAGCCGCAGGUGCGCCACGCCUCCUGCUGCCCACGGCGCCCCCUGGCGGCCGGGCGACCCCGCCCCUCCCCGAGCCGGCCCCCGCUCCGUCCACACGGCCCCGCCCCCCACAGGGGCCGCCCCUCUACAUCCGACCCCGCCCCUCCCCGCGCUUCUGCCGCGCCCAUCCCGACUUCCGCCGGGAGCUCCCGGAGCUCGCGUUUCCCGGCUCGCCUCGCCCCGGGCCGUGUGGCUCUCGGUGCUCCAGGGAAAGCCGUCCGGGCCCGCCGCUGCGGCGGCCGGGCCAGGGUUCCGGGCGGGCCCCGCUGGCCCAGGUCCCACCUCGGGCUCCUCAGUGCCGACAGCUGCAGCCCCCCACACCCUGCCCAUCCUUGAAGCUCAAACCUUCGACCUGA
rnacentral:lncRNA from 1 species